GUCCACGCCGUAAACGAUGUCGACUAGCCGUUGGGCUCUUUUAGGGCUUAGUGGCGCAGCUAACGCAUUAAGUCGACCGCCUGGGGAGUACGGCCGCAAGGUUAAAACUCAAAUGAAUUGACGGGGGCCCGCACAAGCGGUGGAGCAUGUGGUUUAAUUCGAUGCAACGCGAAGAACCUUACCUACCCUUGACAUCCAGAGAAUCUGUUAGAGAUAGCGGAGUGCCUUCGGGAGCUCUGAGACAGGUGCUGCAUGGCUGUCGU
rnacentral:rRNA from 1 species